UACAGAGGGUGCGAGCGUUAAUCGGAAUUACUGGGCGUAAAGCGUGCGUAGACGGUUAUUUAAGUCGGGUGUGAAAGCCCCGGGCUCAACCUGGGAAUUGCAUUCGAGACUGAAUAGCUAGGGUACGGUAGAGGGAUGCGGAAUUCCAGGUGUAGCGGUGAAAUGCGUAGAUAUCUGGAGGAACACCGGUGGCGAAGGCGGCAUCCUGGACCAACACUGACGCUGAGGAGCGAAAGCCAGGGGAGCAAACGGG
rnacentral:rRNA from 1 species